AUAGCGCAUAAGGGGAGGUCGUGGUUUCGGCCUGAGAGUUCCGCAAACGUGAGCGGAAGACCCUCACAACCUGAUCCGGGUAAUGCCGGCGGAGGGAGUGCAAGAGAAAAAUU
rnacentral:ncRNA from 2 species